rnacentral:rRNA from 1 species
AAACAAGCUACAAAGGGCGUACGGUGGAUGCCUUGGCGCCAAGAGCCGAAGAAGGACGUGGCCUACUGCGAAAAGCUCCGGGGAGCCGUGAGCGGGCUUUGAUCCGGAGAUAUCCGAAUGGGGCAACCCACCCGGGGGAAUGCCCGGGUACCGCCGGCUGAAUACAUAGGUCGGCGGAGGGAACGGGGGGAACCGAAACAUCCUACUACCCCCAGGAAAAGACAAUAUUCCCUGAGUAGUGGCGAGCGAAAGGGGAACAGCCCAAACCCGCCUCGUGCUAAAGGCUGCAGUCGUUGCGAGGCGGGGGUAGUAAGGCCCGGCGGGGCCUCUGCAGGGGCCCAAGGGAGUUACCAAUCUGCUUGCUAGCCAAACGGUCUGGAAAGGCCGGCCAUAGAGGGUGAUAGCCCCGUAGACGAAAGUGAGCAGACUCCUGCCGGUGGCCUUGAGUACCACGGGACACGCUAACCUUGUGGGAACCAGGGGGGUCCACCCUCUAAGGCUAAACACUCUUGGCGACCGAUAGCGGACGAGUACCGUGAGGGAAAGGUGAAAAGAACCGGGGUGACCGGAGUGAAAUAGAACCUGAAACCGUAUGCCUACAAGCAGUGGAAGGGCAAUGCCGCUGCUAGCCAGCCUUGCCAGUGAUGAGCUGGUGGGGUUGGUGCGGGGCGGCAAGCCUGACCGCGUUCCUCUUGGAGAAGGACCCAGCGAGUCAAUCUCUGUGGCGAGGUUAAGGGAGUUACACCCGGAGCCGAAGCGAAAGCGAGUCUGAAGAGGGCACAUGGGCGGGGACAACCCGCCCGAGUCGCAGGGAUUGGACCCGAAACCAGGUGAGCUACCCAUGGCCAGGCUGAAGCGGGGUGCAUCAACCACCCUGCGGAGGGCCGGACCUACCAAUGUUGCAAAAUUGGGGGAUGAGCUGUGGGUAGAGGUGAAAUGCCAAGCGAACCUGGAUAUAGCUGGUUCUCCCCGAAAUAGCUCUAGGGCUAGCGUCAGGGGUUCAGUGGCGGGGGUAGAGCAACCGGAUUGGGUAGGAGGCCAAGAGCCGGCCGAACCAAACCGAACUCCGAAUGCCGCCACUCCACACCCUGGCAGUCAGACAGUGAGGCAAAACUUCAUUGUCGAGAGGGGAAUAACCCAGACCGCCAGCUAAGGCCCCCAAGUCGGGGCUCAGUGUAUAGUAAGGUGGUGGGAUCGCGACGACAACCAGAAGGUUGGCUUGAGAGCAGCCAUCCUCUUACGAGUGCGUACAAGCUCACUGGCCGAGCGAUCCUGCGCCGAAAAUACACGGGACUAAGCCCCGCGCCGAAGCCGCGGACUACCUUCUAAUCUCCCUAUAAGGGGGAGGAUGGAGGUGGUAGUAGGGGAGCGUUCUUGUGUGCAGCGAAGCCGGAUCGUGAGGACCGGUGGAGCGCACAGAAGUGAGAAUGCUGGGACGAGUAGCGUAAAACACGUGCAAAACGUGUUCGCCGAAAUGCCCAAGGUUUCCGACGCAACGUUACUCGGCGUCGGGUUAGUCGGGCCUAAGCUGAGGGCAUGUAGCCGUAGGCGAUGGACAACGGGUUAAUACUCCCGUACCACGUCGGGUCGUUUGAGCAAAGGGGUGACGCAGGCUGGCAAGCCAGCCGGUUAGCGGAUUCCGGUGCGAAGCUUGUAGGGAGAUGAAGGCGGCAGGAAAACCCACUGCCUGAUCCCGAGGAGCGAUAGCGAUGCCGCGCGAGCGGCCAGUGGCCGGCCCAGCCUGCCAAGAAAAGCCUCUAGUGAGACCCACGUGCCCGUACCGCAUUACCGACACCGGUGGGCGGGUAGAGUAUACCAAGGCGAUCGGGAGAACCCUCGUUAAGGAAUUCGGCAAAUCGAGUCCGUAACUUCGGGAUAAGGACUGCCUCUGGGCGUGUAGCGGCCAGCCCGUGAAGCGCCUGGAGGUCGCAGAGAGCAGGCCCUGCCGACUGUUUAACAAAAACACAAGUCUCUGCUAAAGCGAAAGCUGAGGUAUAGGGGCUGAUACCUGCCCAGCGCCGGUUAGCCAAGGGGACGGGUCCUCUUCCGUAAAGGCGGAGGGGGGCUCUGAACCGAAGCCCCGGUUAGCGGCGGCCGUAAAGAUAACGGUCCUAAGGUAGCACAAUACCCAGACGGGCAAGUUCCGUCGCGCAUGAACGGUGUAACGAGCGGGGCGCUGUCUCGACGAGGGACCCGGCGAAACUGAAGUAGGCGUGAAGAUGCGUCUUACCCGCAGCGGGAUGAAAAUACCCCGUGGAGCUUUACUGCAGCUUGGUAUUGGGUCGGGGCGUCGUCUGUCGAGGAUAGGUGGGAGGCUGUGAAGCCGGAGCGCCAACUCCGGCGGAGCCAACGUUGGAAUACCACCCUCUCGACAUCCUGGCCCUAACUCCUGCCGCAAUCCGGCAGGAGGACAGUGCCUGGUGGGCAGUUUGACUGGGGCGGUCGCCUCCUAAAAGGUAACGGAGGUGUCCAAAGGUUCCCUCAGGCUGAAUGGAAACCAGCCGUUGAAUAUAAAGGCAUAAGGGAGCCUGACUGCAAGGCAGGCAAGCCGAGCAGAGACGAAAGUCGGGCUUAGUGAUCCCACGGUACCGUGUGGAAGGGCCGUGGCUUAUCGGACAAAAGCUACCCCGGGGAUAAGGGGGCGGUCUUGCCCGAGAGGUCCCAUCGACGGCAAGGUUCGCUACCUCGAUGUCGGCUCGUCACAUCCUGGGGCUGGAGCAGGUCCCAAGGGUUCGGCUGUUCGCCGAUUAAAGUGGCUCGCGAGCUGGAAACAGAACGUCGUGAGAUGGUUCGGUCUCUAUCUGCUGCGGGCGCAGGUGACUUGAGGGGAGCUGCCCCUAGUACGAGAGGACCGGGGCGGACAGACCUCUGGUGUACCAGUUGUGCCGCCAGGCGCAUCGCUGGGUAGUUACGUCUGGACGGGAUAACCGCUGAAGGCAUCUAAGCGGGAAGCCUCCCCCAAGAUCAGGUCACCCACCGGGACAACCGGGUAAGGCCCCUGGUAGACGACCAGGUUGAUAGGCGGCAGGUGUAAGACCGUAAGGCUUUGAGCCGAGCCGCACUAAUGGCUGAGGGCUUGAU